rnacentral:rRNA from 1 species
AUUGAACGCUGGCGGCAUGCCUUACACAUGCAAGUCGAACGGCAGCACGGGUGCUUGCACCUGGUGGCGAGUGGCGAACGGGUGAGUAAUACAUCGGAACGUACCUUAUCGUGGGGGAUAACGCAGCGAAAGCUGUGCUAAUACCGCAUAAGCCCUGAGGGGGAAAGCGGGGGAUCGAAAGACCUCGCGCGAUUAGAGCGGCCGAUGCCUGAUUAGCUUGUUGGUGGGGUAAAAGCCCACCAAGGCGACGAUCAGUAGCUGGUCUGAGAGGACGAUCAGCGACACUGGGACUGAGACACGGCCCAGACUCCUACGGGAGGCAGCAGUGGGGAAUUUUGGACAAUGGGGGCAACCCUGAUCCAGCAAUGCCGCGUGAGUGAAGAAGGCCUUCGGGUUGUAAAGCUCUUUUGUCAGGGAAGAAACACCGGCUCUAACACAGUCCGGGAAUGACGGUACCUGAAGAAUAAGCACCGGCUAACUACGUGCCAGCAGCCGCCGUAA